GGUGACUCGAUUUAGCGGUCCCGAAACCACUUCCCGACAAGGGUCAAUUUUGGGCUGUCACAACUCUCCCCCACUUAAGAAAUUUUCGUCCCCAAAAAUCUUACCGGUAAAUAGGUUUGGGUAUCGUUCUUUCAUCGAGCUCUCGGUUUCCCAAGUAGCUUCCUCGAUCCCGUGUUUGAGCCAUAACACCCUAACUAAC
rnacentral:lncRNA from 1 species